UACGGAGGGUGCGAGCGUUGUCCGGAAUCACUGGGCGUAAAGGGCGCGUAGGCGGACUCUUAAGUCGGGGGUGAAAGCCCAGGGCUCAACCCUGGAAUUGCCUUCGAUACUGAGAGUCUUGAGUUCAGAAGAGGUUGGUGGAACUGCGAGUGUAGAGGUGAAAUUCGUAGAUAUUCGCAAGAACACCAGUGGCGAAGGCGGCCAACUGGUCCGAUACUGACGCUGAGGCGCGAAAGCGUGGGGAGCAAACAGG
rnacentral:rRNA from 1 species